AUAGCACUGUAACUUUGGCAAUAGUAUUAGUCCCAAUAUUAGAGGAAUAGUUCCUAAGUCAUUCUAUAACUACACGUCAAAGCUUACCUCAACUAAUGCAAUUAUAUCUAGUAAUCAUUGUUAAUGUUACUACUAUAUCCACACAUAAUAGGCAUCAACUAGGGAAGAUUGAAAACAAAGUUCUCCCUUCAUUCGCAACACGGGCCCUGCUAGCUAAACACCAAGAGGUUACUAGUUUCUAUGGCCUAUAUACGGGGAGUGAAGUAUAUAGGACUCAACAGGUCUGUCACACCCGUGAUCUACCACAUGACCUAACAUAUAGAGUGCAUCCGCAGGUAAAUAAUAUCUAAGCACCAUGCUUACAUAAUGUAUACCACCCACCCAUAGAUAUUGAAUAAAUAGAUAGGCGCCCACAAUAGACCAAUUAUACUAGAUAUAUAAUCAAAGUAGACAAUGAACAUUGCAACCAGGAACAUAAAUAAGACGAGAAAUAAUGUUGACAUAAACAUUAUGAGUGGGAGGUUAAAAGAAUUAUACUAAAAACCAUGCUCAGGAUAAUAUCGGGAAUCCAAGCUUGAUCAACUUGACUCCUUCUAGACCUAAUCUAACUAGUUAGAGCUCUAGAACUAGAUGAACUAUGAGGAAUUAGGGUUCUAGCUCUAGAUAGCUUAAUCUCCAAAUGACUUAUGCCUUAGGGAGGGACGCUAGGGUCUCCUUAUAUAGACCAGGGGGAUCAACGUGAGCCCUUGGAUCAAAUCGACUUUGAAAUACGAUGGAGAUGCAUCCUAGGAGGUGAUGGAAGAAGGUUCCAGCUUAGAGCUAGAGCCCUCUAGGGGGUGCUGGUCGACAUGGGGGUGGGACUGGUCGGUCCCACCUAGAGGCCUUUUGGGCCCCGCUUUGGUCUGGUGUCUUCUCAAGUCUUCUAGAUUCUUCCCACGUAUAUUUCAUGGAAUAAUUCAUUUGUUUCAUUUGAUGAAUAGGUCCUCCUGGGUAGUUUUUUAAUAAUCCUAUGGAAAAUAGAGAUUCAUCAAAACUCGUGAAAUUUGUCAGUUCAAACCCUAGACUUCUGUGAAUUCUUUCCUUUUAUACUACUUCUCAUAUUUAUUCAAUUAUAAAUUAUUGACAUUAUCCACCGUCAACAGUAGCACAACCUUGGAUCUAGGGGGUACACCGCCUAUCCUUCGCCUACCAUUUUAGGUGAAGCGGUGCCCCUCCACCUAGUAGCACAUAAGCAUGCAUAAGCGAGCGCGUAGGAGCACCUUUCUGAACUAUAGAGAACUAACCAAAACCAAAGUUAUAGAUCUCAAAGAGUUAUACAACUUUGUAGUUGAUAAUCUUUUUAUUUGAGAUCACUUAUCUAUGGGAUAUUCAUUUUGAUUUCUCACAUAUUUUGAUAUUUAAGUUUUCAAAUGACAUCAGAUGGAGAAAUGACAAUAACUUAAGUUAUAGUACUCGAUCAUAACAUUAACCUUCCAAUUCCAUCUUUUUCAUUGGAAUUCAUUUCGAGUUCCCAAAUAUUAAUAUCAAAAUCUCAUAAAGUGAAUAGGGGAGAAUGUUUAUGCCCUUUUGUUUUAAGUAACUUUGGGUGGAGCGUUUAUAGGAGAUACAUGUAAGGCAUGAGGUCCUCUUGCGCUUGCAUUUCACGUGAACUGUGACUAGCUGAUAGGGGUCGUCUCCUCGAAUUAAGCUUUUUUUUGGUCUGAUUUAUAAUUCUAGAAAAUAAUUUGUAGAGAUGACUAGACUUUUUUUUUCUUUUUUUAUGCUUGAUUUAUGAUUUCUAGAAAACAAUUUAUUUGCAUUUUGAGCUCCCUCUAGAAAUGUUUGUAGAGCCGACUCCUGUUUUCAGCUGCUCCUAUAAAUUGAUUAUAGAAGGGGCUCUAAACAGCUGUCACUAUAAAUCGUUAAUUUGUAGAGCCCAACAUCAUCUUUAUACAGACUUUUUAGUCGCCUACAAAUGUUUUAUAUAAUAGUGAGAAUACCAUAGUUGUAUUCUAAAAUAAAUUUAGAAAUAUGGGAAGGUCCGUGUGGAAUUGAGGAGGAUUAAUAAUGAAUUAAUUCCAAAAAUCAAGAAGAAGCAUGUAUGUCCUUGCUGGCGCGAUCUCAGGCGAUGAUAAAAUCCAUAAAGCCCAUGUUAGAAAAGCCUAUGUUGAGUACGGUCCGUCUCAGAAUGUAACGGCCCUUGUGCUAAGAUACUUUUUCACAAUAUCAAUUGCAUUUGCAUAGGCCGAUAGGAGAUUGAAAGAAAAAUAUUAUAUAUACACGAAGGACAUUAGAUGGAUUGCUGGAAAUUAAAAUUAUUUUUUAAUGUCUCUGUGUACUGCAACACCAAUUAAUCGCAACCCAUUCCAAUUAAUGUUUCUUCGACCAGCAUCGGUCUACACUCUAUAAUCCUGGUAACGGCUCAUGAGUAAGGAUGGCAACGGGGCGGGUUCGGAUCGGGUGAAGUCUAUGUGCUCUCUGAACCCAAAACCUAAAAUCGAAACCCGAAACCGAACCGAACACCGAUUCGGGUGAUAACUCCUCCCAAAACCAAACCCGCGGAUACACGAAACCCGAAUGAAUACCCGAAACCCGCUUUCUAUGUCAAUAUAAUAAUAACAAUAAGGACUUUCUAUAAAUAUAUACAUGAUAUAUAUACACAUAUUUACAUGUAUAAACAAGAGACAAUAAAACAUAAAUAUUUUCAUGAGUUAGCUUAAAAUAAAUUUCAUAAUCUAAGUAAAAAGUUAUUAUUAUCAUAUUAUAAAAUAUGAAAAUUAAUUCUAAUGACUUAUUUCGGAUAUCCAUUGGAUAUCCACGGGUGGAAAACCAAACCCGAAACCGAAUCCGAUAGGUUUCGGGGCCCCGAACCCGAAAACCGUGGGUGAAAAAUCAUCCCCAAAACCGAACCCGUGAGAACCGAAACCUGCGGAUAUCCGACCCGAAACCGACCCGCUGCCAUCCUUAUUCAUGAGUCAGGACACUCUAUUACAGAGUCUAAGAUAAUUAAUUACAUAUUAUUUAUGAUAUUUUGCUGAUGUAGCGGUAUAUUUAUUGAAGAAAGAGGUAGAAAAAAUAAGACUUCAAGUCUUAUUUAGACUCUAAGACCAGUUUCAAUGGGAUUUCAUGAGAGGUUUCAUGCAUAUUAAAUAAGAUACCACAUCAGCAGAUGAGAUAAUUUUACAUAAAACGAGGAGGAGAAAGAAGAGAAACGUUUCAUCCCCACGACACGAGUGAGCAGUGUUUCCAACGUCACGGAAACAGAACGAAACCUGCAUUGAGAUGGGGUGAUUCGUUUUAUGGGUGAGUCCGCCGUCGCGGGUGAGUCCGACACCUCGUGUGGGCGCCGUUGUGGGCGAAUCCGCCAGGUCGCGGUCGUGGGCGAGUUUGCCA
rnacentral:lncRNA from 1 species